CUUUUCUUUCCAAAGGGAAGGUACAGUCCCAAAUUGCAACAAAUACUGGAGUAACCUUGUUAAUACACCUUUCAACUGGUGACAACAAUUCUUUACCACCUUCCCACUAAUUCCAUCAGGCCCCCCAGCUUUACCAAGUUUUAUACUAGAUAUAGAGGUUACCACUUCUGGCUCUGACAAAUAAAUAGGGGGCAAUAUGGGAUGUUCUGGCAGAUAUUAUCACAGUUAGGACUGCUAUCCUCAGUAUCAAAUCUUCUGAAAAAAUGGUUCAUAUCAUUAACAGGUACAGUAAGUAAUAGGUUACUGUUCCUUUUAUCAUGCCUGCCCAUCAUAACAUUUAGACCAUAUCAAGCUUGCCUUGCAUUUAAACUCACUUUCAUGCAACUGCUAUUGCAUUAAAGAAACUAACAUCUUAAUAUUAAGGAUGUUGAUUUAACACAUGCAACACAUGCAACACAUGCAACACAUGCAACACAUGUAACACAUGCAACACAGUAAAUCUGCUUGGUUGACCUGACUCUUGGUGAACUAGAAUUAGAAUUUAGAAUUAGGAAACUCUUUUCAGGGUGCUGUUUCAUACGGCAUUAAUACCGAACAUACUGUACUUUAUAAGACUGGGUUUGAUAGAAACAUUGCCUUCAAUAUCACAAUAUCACAAUCCUAAGCAUCAUCAUUUGUCUUAUAGAUUUCCCCCUAACAUGUCUUCACAAUGACAGAAUUACAAUAGGUAAUUUUCCACAUUGUGGGGACAUUUGGCUGCUGCAGAAAGAACAAAUAGGAGAGCACACACAUGCACGCGCGCACACACACACACCACACCGCGCAUUAUUUCCCUCCAUUAGAAGACAACAGGAGAACAGAGACCUAUUUUCUGCUGGCUAUUUCUGAAGCUCAGAGAGAAAAUUGCCACUGUUUGGACAAUUUAGUUUGAAAUUGCCCAGUAGGGGUGUUCAUUUUAGGUUUCAUGGGGCUGCUUUCAUUUGUUAAGAUGCAUGCUUUUAAGGAAGUCCAUAAUUCCUUAUGUAGAGCUUUUAUAGAUUUAUAUAGAGCUUUUCUAGACACUCAAAGUGCUUUACAUUGUAUGGGGGGAAAUCUCCUCAACCACCAUGGAUGAUGUGACAGCAGACAUAGUGCACCAGAAUGCCCACCCCACACCAGCUAUUAGUGAAGAGGAGAGUGAUGUUGCCAAUUCAAACCACAUGGCGAGCACUCACUAAUACCACAUCUAGCAGCAACCUUAGUUUUCCCCAGGAGGUCUCCCAUCCAGGCACUGACCAGGCUCAACCCUGCUUAACUUCAAUGGCACUGGACCAUCAUGAGUGGUGAGGUACACUGUAGCAGAGGAAAUGUGGGAAACUGGAGUUUGGGUUUGUACAACUAAAAUCAUGGAAUAAAUUAUGUAGUAUUUUUGGGGAAAGACGACAAGUCAAAUAGAUGUAAAUGCUCAACUAGACAUUGUACUAUACUAUGGUCC